AUUGAACGCUGGCGGCAGGCCUAACACAUGCAAGUCGAACGAGUGGCGGACGGGUGAGUAAUGUCUGGGAAACUGACCGAUGGAGGGGGAUAACUACUGGAAACGGUAGCUAAUACCGCAUACCAUCGGAUGUGCCCAGAUGGGAGUAGCUAGGAGGUGGGGUAACGGCUCACCUAGGCGACGAUCCCUAGCUGGUCUGAGAGGAUGACCAGCCACACUGGAACGGAGACACGGUCCAUACUCCUACGGGAGGCAGCAGUGGGGAAUAUUGCACAAUGGGCGCAAGCCUGAUGCAGCCAUGCCGCGUGUAUGAAGAAGGCCUUCGGGUUGUAAAGUACUUUCAGCGAGGAGGCGUUACUCGCAGAAGAAGCACCGGCUAACUCCGUGCCAGCAGCCGCGGUAAUUC
rnacentral:rRNA from 1 species